rnacentral:misc_RNA from 1 species
AGCAGCCGCGGUAAUUCCAGCUCCAAUAGCGUAUAUUAAAGUUGUUGCAGUUAAAAAGCUCGUAGUUGAAUUUCGGGAUCAGUUGGUCGGUCGUGCCUCGGUACGUACUGGUCAAAUUGAUUCCUACCUUCUGACGAACCACGAUGUCAUUAAUUUGGUGUCGCGGGAAAUCAGGACUGUUACUUUGAAAAAUUAGAGUGUUUAAAGCAGGCUCGCGCUUGAAUACAUUAGCAUGGAAUAAUGAAAUAGGACGUUUGAUUCUAUUUUGUUGGUUUCUAGGAUCGACGUAAUGAUUAAUAGGGAUAGUUGGGGGCAUUAGUAUUCAAUUGUCAGAGGUGAAAUUCUUGGAUUUAUUGAAGACUAACUACUGCGAAAGCAUUUGCCAAGGAUGUUUUCAUUAAUCAAGAACGAAAGUUAGGGGAUCGAAGACGAUCAGAUACCGUCGUAGUCUUAACCAUAAACUAUGCCGACUAGGGAUCGGAUGAUGUUAAUU